rnacentral:rRNA from 1 species
AGGACUAACGCUGGCGGCGUACCUAACACAUGCAAGUCGAACGAGGGGUAGCAAUACCCCUAGUGGCAGACGGGUGAGUAACACGUAGUCAACCUACCUCUUAAUGGGGGAUAACUAGCCGAAAGGUUAGCUAAUACCGCAUACGAUCGUCGAGUGGCAUCACACGACGAUGAAAGGAGCAAUCCGUUGAGAGAGGGGACUGCGUCCCAUUAGUUAGUUGGUGGGGUAAUGGCCUACCAAGACUCCGAUGGGUAGCUGGCUUGAGAGAGCGACCAGCCACACUGGAACUGAGACACGGUCCAGACUCCUACGGGAGGCAGCAGUGAGGAAUUUUCCGCAAUGGGGGAAACCCUGACGGAGCGACGCCGCGUGUGGGAAGAAGGCCUUCGGGUCGUAAACCACUGUCGAGGGGGACGAUAUUGACGGUACCCCUGGAGGAAGCCCCGGCUAACUCGCGCCAGCAGCCGC